AGGAGCCAAGUAUUUCACCUGACAGAGCAGUACAACUUGCAGAAUGGCUUAAAAAUAAUAUGUGGCCAGCUAACCAAGUUGCAGAUUACAUGAAAGAAACAGCCAUCCACAGGGCUCAGUGGAUAAGAGCUAACGGGACAAAAUCUAUCGAGGAAAUAACUUGUGAAUUCCCUCGACUCCUUGAUACUCCAGGCAUGAUUUCACAAGACUUCUCUGUAUUAUUCCCCGAACACGCAGAGAGACUUUUCCAAACUUGGAAAAUGAGUUUCAAAGACAAAAUCCUUCUCCACAAUUUAGACAAUUUGUCUCCAGGUAUAGUUGUGAAUGCAAGAACUUAUAGCUAUUCCUUAGAAUAAUGAUGACAAAAUAAUUGAUACAAAAUAUUAAUCUGCACAGAAGUCCAAAGUGACGUUGCACUCAGGCUGCUUCCUGUAAUACUGCCCACCCCUGUCUACAAAAAAGGGAUGAAAAUGUUCAAACCAAGCUUGGAAGAAAAUAUCAAGUCUUUCAUUGAAUUCAAGCAUGUUGGGACCAACAUGGUUGAAUAUUUGAAGGAGGCAGAGCUCACUAAACCCUUCCCCUUUGUCUUUGGUCUUGGGGAUGACAGUCAGUGCCAUCAAGCCUUUGUUGUUGUUGGCAAACAGGCACUGCAUCAAAACACACUCCUUGGUGCUGUGGACACGUGCUUUAAAUUUUUUUAUGUUUUAGACAUCCAUUUCCCGAAGCAGUGUGCACCAGUGUGGGAGUUUUUGCAGACUGUUGUCUACAAACUCCCAGGAACUGAAUCUCCUUCUGUAAGACUGCUCCGUGGAUAUUUGUCAUGUUGAGCAGUACUGGAACCAUGACAACUAACCCUUUCUAAAAUGUUAUGUGAGUUUAUAUUAAGAGGAAAGUUGUCAGACUAAUACAUAUAUCUAAAGCAUUUUACUUGUAUAACUUUGUUCGUGUGCCUCUUUGUUAAACAUACUCUCUAAAAAGUUAUGAGUUUAUAUGAAGGGGAAAGUCAUCUAACUAUAUAUGAAGCAUUGUACUUGUGUCUUAUACUUGUGUAUAUAAUGUAAAUGUUUAAAUCGAAGCUAAUUUAAUUUAUUGAUAUUUAUUUUUUAAAAUUUAUAAAAUGGAAGUUGU